AUGAUUGAAAACCUCUGUCCAAUUCUCUCAUGGAAUGUUCGGGGCCUGAAUUCGCCAGCUAGAAGAGCCGCUGUUGCUGAAAUUGUUGUUUGCCAUCGCCUUGGUAUUCUAUGUCUGCAAGAAACAAAAAUCUCCACCGGGACUACUGAUUUGGCCAGAGAAGUUGGAGGUGCAAAACUCAGAGACUGCGUUGUGCUGCCUGCUUUAGACACUAGGGGGGGUGCUGCCAUCUUCUGGGACCCUGAUGUUGUGGAGAUCACCUCUCAUGCAAUUGGACAGUUUGCUAUAACUGCUCAAGCUAGACUCAAAGCUUCAGGCAAAUCCUUCUGGUUGACUACCGUCUACGGGCCAACCGAUGAUGAGAGGAAAGAAGAUUUCCUGACUGAAAUAAGAAGCUCGGCCCCCAAGCUGGACAACCUUGGCUGA
rnacentral:rRNA from 1 species